rnacentral:misc_RNA from 1 species
AGCAGCCGCGGUAAUUCCAGCUCCAAUAGCGUAUAUUAAAGUUGUUGCAGUUAAAAGCUCGUAGUUGAAUUUCGGGGUCUGUCCGUCGGUCGGGCUUCACAGUCCGUACUGGUGUGAUGGGUUCCUACCUUCUGAAUAACCGGCAUGCCAUUCAGUUGGUGCGCCGGGGAAGCAGAGCUAUUACCUUGAAAAAUUGAGUGCUUAAAGCAGGCUAGUGCUUGAAUAGAUUAGCAUGGAAUAAUAAAAUAGGACGGCAUGGUCUAUUUUGUUGGUUUCUAGGAUCACCGUAAUGAUUAAUAGGGAUAGUUGGGGGCAUUAGUAUUCAAUUGUCAGAGGUGAAAUUCUUGGAUUU